UAAAUGCUUCUCUUCCUUGAGGCCAACGAUAUAUUUUAAUGAGCCGAAAAGCGUCGCGAAGAAAUAAUAAAACGGAUUAUAAAAUAACGACGAGUACCUACCAAAAUAAUAACUCCGUACGGCUUCCCGUGGCCGAAUUAAUCGAAUGUAAUUGGAGAUUUGUUUUUAUUGAUCGUUACUUGAAUGGCCGUAUUAUGUUUUAUAUUUUUUCUUUUUUUUUAUGAAAAAAAAAAUAAAUCGACGCUUCGACGAACGAACAUCAUGUAUACAGUGUGUACGUAAUGUUGACAAUAUACAAUUUAAUUAACUAUAUAGCUUU